rnacentral:lncRNA from 1 species
AUGCCUUGCGCGCCGCGGGCCCUGAGACCUGAGGCUGUCGGCGUCCUGGUGGCCCCGCCUCGUGUCCCCCCCCGGACCCCACGCCGCGGGAGCUUGGGGGCUGCGGUCUUCUCGUCCUCCGACCUCACCUUCGAUGCGGAAGCGCAGGGGCAGGUGCACCGCCCUCGGCCCGCGCAGGCGGUGGGCCGGUCUGGGGCAAGGCGCCCGGAAGCGCCUGGUUGGUUCAGAAAAUCGGACCGCAGCGGGAGGGCGGGCACCGGCGCGUGGUCUCAGUGGCCCCAGGCGAACCCUGAUGAGCAGCAGCCGCAAGUGGCUUACUAAAGGAGCCACUUUCUACGUUUGUCUGGAAUUUACGUGAAUUAAGCUGGCGGGCGGGCGGCCAGGCCUGUAGUCUCAGCACUUUGGGAGGCUCAGCACUUCGGGAGGCUGUGGCGGGCGGAUCACCUGAGCCUGGGAAUUGGAGACCAGCCUGCGCAACGUAGCAAGACCCUAUCUCUAAAACAGAUUCAUUAAUACUUAGCCAGGCGCGGUGGCUGAGGUCCCAGCUACUCGGCAGGCCCAGGCUGGCCUGAGCCAGACCGCUCUGGACUGUUUUAAUUUUUUCAGCCUUAAUACCUGCCAGAAUUUUUCUUUUACUAUGUAUCUUUGUCCUUACAUAUAUAAAUUUUAUGUACAAUUGAGAUUAUCCUGUAUUUGCUUUUCCCCCCUCACUUUUAUAUGGUGACUUUUCUCAUGUUAGGCUGAAUACUAACAUUUUGGAAACUGUCGGCCUGAAAACGAGCGGAGACACAGUUUCUCUAAGUAGAGAGUUUAUUUGGGCCACACUUGAGCACAAAUUCAAGGCGCCCUGAAUGUGUACUCCGAUUAGCCGUUAACAGUGGAUUUUAAAGGCAAAAAAGGGGGCCAGGGAGUGGACUAAUAGGAACUUGUUUGUGAGGAAUUCUCACUGGUUUACAGAAAUAACAUUGAUUAGUGACUGACUAUAUGUUGUUCAGCUAUUGAGUGUGGGUAUAGUGUCCAGUGUGACGUCAUUAGGUUAAUUUAUAGCUGUUUGUGGCGCUGUUGCCACCAGUAGCAGUUUAAAGAGGUGAACACAGGUCAAGGGGUAGUAGGGCGCGAUUGUCGCCUCAUUUGAAUGUCUCUCUCGGCCUGAUAAUUAAAAGGACUCGCGUUCCUCAGAUAAAAAUUCUCUUUUCUCAAAACCAUUUAAAUGUGGUAAUUAGAAUGGCCCAGAAGGGGCACAGUGCCUUUUAGCCCUCGCCAUUACUUGCUCUUAGUAGUGCAUUUUUUGUAGCUGUGAGUUUUUGACUAUCUCUGCUGCUUUCUCCAGCCCCUACCCCCGUGACUACAAGGGAAAACGUGCGGCGCUCACGAGAGAGCCUUUAUGGGAUUUUUUAAAAAUGGGGAUUGUGGGAAAAUGGCACCAGCAGUCACAGUUUUUCAGUUUCUCACAAUCCCAUAAAAACAGAGCGACCAGGUAGCAAAACUAAAGCAUGGGCAACAUUUACAGACCACUGGAUGGUGAAGAAUUCCCAUGAACCCCUGGUUCACACUGUAAGGACAGACUACUCAGCAUGGGCAACAUUUACAGACCACUAGAUGAUGAAGAAUUCCCAUGAACCCCUGGUUCCAACUGUAAGGACACACUACUCAGCUGUAGCCUGAAGCCGCCUCCUUACAUACUGUAAGUUUAGCCUAUAGGUUUCUCCAUACGUAGUGAACAGUCAUCUAAUUGGAUGUGUGGACACUGUAACCUACUCUUGAAUCAGUCACAGGCAGCAGCACUUCAAACUCUGUUUCAAUAAGCCAGACACGAGCUGUAGCCACCCUGCUGUUUGCAGGCCUCACCUCUGCCUUCUGUGCCUCACUCCCUUUUCUGUCCGUAAGUCUUUGGCCACACAGCGGCACUGGAGUCUCUCUGAGCCUGUUCUGGUUUGAGGGGCUCCCUGAUUCCUGAAUCAUUCUUUGCUCAAUUAAACUCUGUAAAAUUU